rnacentral:rRNA from 1 species
CAGCCGUAAACUAUGCGCGUUAGGUGUAUCGGUGACCACGAGUUACCGAGGUGCCGAAGGGAAACCGUGAAACGUGCCGCCUGGGAAGUACGGUCGCAAGGCUGAAACUUAAAGGAAUUGGCGGGGGAGCACCACAACAGGUGGGGCCUGCGGUUUAAUUGGACUCAACGCCGGGAAGCUCACCGGAUAGGACAGCAGAAUGAUUGCCGGGCUGAAGACCCUGCAUGACUAGCUGAGAGGUGGUGCAUGGCGUCAGUGACU